GUUCAGCAACAUUUUAUUUUUCCAAACUGGAUCCAUCAGUUUUGCCUGCCUUGGGUUUUCCCUCUGCACUGGCAUCUAGCCAACCUUCGGAGGUUCUUCCUGGCCUGGCAUUUUUUAUGGUAGGUUUCAAGACCCUUGAAGUACUUAGCUCUCUCUGCUCAUAUGGCUGCUUUUCCACCUCUGUGGUUGCAGACCACAUCUUCCCUGUGGCCUUCGCCACCUGCACCACAGACCAGUUGGGGUUCUCCCUCUUCACCUGGGCAUAGUGGUCUUGGCAGAACAGCAGGAAGGAUGAUGGAGGCCGUCUGGGCGCCUGGGGGUCCCACUUUCUUCUUUUCCUUCUCUUUCCGACAUAAUUCAUCAUUUCUUUCUGGUAUCGGGCUUUGUCGAGUUUUGCCAGGGCUUCGUACUUGGCCUUUUCAUGCUUUGAGACAGCCCUCCAUUUUUCCAAACACUUUCUAGAGAACUCUUUAAAGCCAAAGUAGGUAUUUGGCUGCUGCUCCGUGCAUUUGUUUCAGUAAUUCAAUAAAAAGUGGAUAUAAGAAGAAAGGUUCACCUUGGGUCUUGGCUGUACUUCUUUUCCCAUGUUCAUAAAAUCAUGUUGUCCUUUUUUUUUUCUGGUUUCUGUCAUUUGGACAGUAGAGACUUUUGUCUCCUCGCACCAGGAGCAAUCUAGAAGGUGCUCUGCUGGCAGUGAAUGUUUCUCUCUGCAAGAGCUGCACUCAGAGGUCUGCCUUUUCAGUGGUGGUGGCUUUGUUGGGUCAGAGGAGGGAAAUUGUGACAUCACCCAUAAACUGGCCAAUCCUGGCCAACACUUGUAAGCAUUUGCAUACAGGUGCUCUGAUUGGUUGGUUGCUCCAUGAUCUGUCUGUAUCUCUCCAGAAAGAUGAUAGUUUAUCCAAAGAAAGCUGUGGAGCAGCUGCUGCCACUGGGAAUAAUUCUCCUUGGCUUCCUUGAGGCAAUGGAUUUUGCUCAGCUUCGGGGGUUUUAAAUCCCUCAGGGGUAGUAACAAGGGUCUACCUUCCUCACUAAGAGAUUGUCAGGUUGCCCCAUCCUCCCUUCCAAAGACAGGCUGAUAAUAAAGAACUGGAGGAGGUGGCUGGCUCAGAGCUGUCAGGAUAAAACGUGAAAUCUUUCUGUUUGCCUUGAACAGUGGCAGCUCACGCCAUACAAAGGGUUUAGUAGUAAUUCUAAAAAUAAUCAGCUAUGACAGCUGUGGCUCGGUUGCUGUCAGGACAAAGUUGUCUAAUUUAAAACCGGAGCACUUGGGCUAUGAGUCUGAACCCUUCAUUUCUCUGAAGAAAUUUGAGGGGAAGGAUGGAGGCUCCUUAAUUACACUUGAGUCCAUGAAAUUGAGAGCAUUCUUAAGCCCAUCAGGAGGGUCCACCCUCUCCUGUGAAGGAUCCCCAUUACUUAGGGUUGAAGCACAAGCUUCUAAGAGCUCCAUUCAAAUGAGUUGACUUCUGGCUUUUGGUAAAAGUAGUUGCAAAUAUUCCCUGAGUCUUCCAUUUGGAGGGAAAAGAAAGGCAUCGUUUGUUGGCCUUUGGCCCCUGCAACAUACUCAUGUGAGAUUGAAUUUAAUACAACUUCCUGCUAGAUAAUAGUGCCAAAUGUACAGGACUAGAAAAUUAAGUUUCAGUAACAUGAAAAGUAACAAGUUCAAGGUCAAACAGUCACAGGUGGGAGUGUGAGCUUUGAGAGCUGAAGGCCUGAAUCAAUCAAACCUGUGCUCUAUCUUGUCUGCAUACAGUUUCCAGCAGCUGAGCAUGGCAAGGAGGCUUGCCUAACUCCAGAUCCCAGUGGGAAGUUCUGCCAAAGCCAUUCACAGGGAUCUAAGAUUGACUUCAAAUUUUGACUUAUGUAAAAGAUGGAAACCAGAUAGAGUUCCCAGGCCUGAGUUCAAACCCCACAGUUUUCGAUAGCUGUGCCCACCUAAAGCAUGUUCUUCCUCCCUAUGAGCCAGUGGAUUCUCAUAAAGAGUCAGAGGUUGGCUCACCUGUUUGAACUUGAGCAAGGCUGUAGAGAUGAAUGGGACACAAGUACUUCCUGAAAUUCAAAGAUGGGACUUGAGGAAGAACUUUAGCUGAAGUCUACACAUAUUAAUCAGACUCUGCUCGGGCAAGCAUGCACACACAUACACACAACACACACGCGUGCAUGUGAUCGUACACACAGCAGCUUAUCUGUGCCUCUGUGCA
ensembl:lncRNA